CUACGGGUGGCUCCAGUAGGGAAUUUUGCGCAAUGGGCGAAAGCCUGACGCAGCAACGCCGCGUGAUCGAUGAAGCUCCUAGGAGUGUAAAGAUCUGUCAUAAGGGAAGAAAAGUUUUAAUAUUAAUAGUAUUAGAAUUUGACGGUACCUUAUAAGAAAGCACCGGCUAACUUCGGGCCAGCAGCCGCGGUAAUACGAGGGGUGCAUGCGUUGUCCGGAAUCAUUGGGCGUAAAGGGUGCGUAGGCGUCCGAGAAAGUUAUUUGUAAAAUCCUCCGGCUUAACCGGAGUUCUGCAAGUAAAACUACUCGGAUAGAGUUUAGGAGAGGAGAAUAGAAUUCCUGGUGUAGCGGUGACAUGCGUAGAUAUCAGGAGGAACAUCUAUGGCGAAGGCAGUUUUCUGGCUUAAAACUGACGCUGAGGCACGAAAGCGUGGGGAGCAAACAGGAUUAGAUACCCCGGUAGUC
rnacentral:rRNA from 1 species